AAAAAGUUAGUUAAACAAUAAUACAAGAUUGUCAGUCUUACGUUACUAAUUUAAUUAGUACUUUUUA
rnacentral:tRNA from 1 species